GAGACCUCAGGUCAGGCGGGGCUACCCGCUGAGUUUAAAACAUAUAA
rnacentral:rRNA from 1 species